GGAGGUUUGUCGUCAGGGGGGUGAGGAGGAGGAAGAGAGUCAGGAUUUAAGUGUAUGUUAUAUCACGCAGAAGUCGUGUUAGAGGGGAGAUAGUUAGUUAAGAAUGGGGUUAUAAUAGUUAUAAUUUAUGCGUAGGAGCUGUUUAUGCUGACAAAUGUGUUGGCUGGGCUCGAGUCAGGUGCUGCGAUGUCCGUUUUGGCUGAUGCAGAGAUGUUUGUGACUCGGUGCGUGUCAUGUGAGGCGGUGACCUUGGAGACGGGAGUUGUUGUGUUGUGUAAUGGCGUGGGUGUGUGUUUUUCAGGGUGCGAGCGUUUGGAUUCCGGAUCCGGUGUGGGCGUCAGGCCAAGUGGUCCACGAUGACAGUCCUGCAGUGAAGCAGCUGCAGCUUAAGCUGUGCGAUGGAAAGGUGGUGGACUACCCGGUGGCUUCCCGGGCUGACCUCCCACCUUUGGGGAACCCUGACAUCCUGGAGGGAGAGAACGACGUGACGUCUCUGAGGUUCCUCCACGAGGUGGCCGUCCCGCACAACCUCCGAGUGUGAUUCCUGGAGUACAACGGCAUGUGCACGUACUGCGGCAUGGUGUUGGUGGCUAUCAACCCCAACCACGAGUAGCUGAACGUCUUGGGGGGAAGACGCGAUGGACGCUUAGAGCGGUGGGGACACGGAUCCUCACGGAUGUGGCCGAGGACGCCUUGAGCACUUAGAGAGAGAGCAGAAGAAGCAGUCCAUCUUCAGCAGCGGAGAGUGGGGCUGGGGGAAGACGGUGUUGUGCCAAGUUAGGCCAACUUGGCAGACACCGAGUGUUGGCGUGAAAUCCUGUGAUGGAGGCGGAAGGUGGCAAAUGUUGUUGUUCUGUGUAAGAAUUUAAUAAAACGUGAAAACAAA